ACUGUAAAUGACACAUUUGCCCAAGAAUAUCAAAAAUUCAAAUCUAAACAGGAAGUUCUGUGAGAGCAUGAUGGAGUUAUUUCACUACAAAGAAGUUUAUUUAUAUAGCUCUUUGUUUACUAUGUGCAGUUUAUAUUUAACAUGGAAGUUUAAGAGUGAUGAAAAUAAUACAAAUGGUAUAGCACCAUAUGUCAUGUAUGUAUAUAGGUAUGGCACACAUGAAUGAAUUGGGACCUUAUCAACGUAUUGUGUUCAAAGAAGACCUAACGAAUCCAGCAGUUCAAAAACAUGUUUUGCAGUGAGACGAAUGGUGACAAUGGCUUUGUGGCAGUUAGUGAAAAACUGUGGCAUUUUACACUGAUGAUGGCUACCAUUUACAGAAAAUUUCUCAACCAAUAGUGACAUUCAAUUGAAAGUAAUAGCAUAUCUUACACCGACUAUACAUCAGAAUGUUGUUGAAAAAAACCAUGGCAAAAAGUGGAAAAUACCGAUCA
rnacentral:lncRNA from 1 species